GGAGGAUUCGCCUAGAGGCCUAGGGCGCACGCUUGGAAAGCGUGUUGGGGGCAACCCCUCACGAGUUCGAAUCUCGUCAACCCCUCACGAGUUCGAAUCUCGUAUCCUCCG
rfam:Streptomyces sp. AS58 P432contig151.1, whole genome shotgun sequence.